rnacentral:lncRNA from 1 species
UUUUUUAUUACAGUUUACAAAAUUUAAAAAUUGAUUUUUUUUUUCUGUUUUUAGUUGAUAUAUAUUUAUAUUAAAUAAGUCAGUAGUAUCAAAUUUAAAAUUUGGUAAAUUGUUUAAAAGUCAAAAUAUACAAGUGAACAAAAGAAGUAUCGUGGGAAACAAGCUAAACAGUGGAGACGGAUAGGACAUUGACACCUUAAAAAAUGAAUAAACUUUGACUGAUUAAUAAGAAUUUCAGAUAUGAAAUUUUGUCAUUUUUCCUUUGUUUGUUCAUUUUUUAAUUGCUCAUAAAAAAUAAAUUAAUAUUUUAUCUAAUUAAUUAUAAAAUUUCAAUAAUAUUACGUUUUAAAGAUAAUUUUAUACUAAAAAAAAAUGAAAGAGCAACAAAUUAUAGAUAUAUAGUACUUCCUCCGUCCCAGGAUAAAAGUCUUUAUUACUAUUUUGGGUAGUCUCAUUUUAAAUGUCUACUUUUAUUUAAUAACCAAAUUUUUACACAUUUUUUCCUAUUAUGCCCGUAGCAUUAAAUAUCUCAUACUUUUCUUAUUCUAAUUCUCUCUCCAUAUUUAAUGACAUUAUUAUGGAUAAUUUUGUCAUUUUAUUCCUUUUCUUAAUAUGCGUGAAAAGUCCACCAGAAUUUUUAUCCUGUGACGGAGGGAGUAAUCAUUUUUAAAAUCUACUAAAACAUAUAUUACUCUUUUUUUUUGGUCAUUAGUAGAAUAUCUAGUACCGCAUUUAAAAUAAUAUAGAAAAUAAAAUUUUAAUUAUAAAGAAAGAAAAAAAAUAUUUUUCGUAUUAUUAUUUUACUUGUAUAUAUAUUUUUAAUUUUUAAAUAUGUACACAUAAAUAUACUCGUGGUCAAACCUUUUCAGUUUUCAACAUACUAAUAUAAGUAUAGUAGUGGUAAAUGAUUAAAGAAACGCGGGACAGUGAGGGUUUAGAAUAGUGGGGACUGGAGUGAGAAAAGGUUGAGACAGUGAAGGUUUAAUUGUGACCAUUAGAUCUGUUUAAAAAAAUCUAAUGGCCCAAAAUCUAUACUGUACUAAUGACCGGUACAAAAUGUACCGGUCCUCCCCCCAAUCCCAAUGUAAAACUAUGGGGGAUGUUAUUAAAUAGUCCAUCAUAUGGCCUUUUAAGGUAUUAUGUUAUCCUAAGUUUAGUAAGUCUACACUUGAAUUAAAGUAUUAAAAGAGUAUAAAUAUCCAAUCCAGUUUAUAAUUAUUGCCAACGAGCAUGUUCCAACUUCUCACUCAAAACCAAGGAUCUGACAUUCUGACCCCAAUGAAGAAAUAUAGGGUUAACUUGCAUCCCUAAUUCAUUUUUCAAAUCAUCCACUACGGCCCUGAUGUUGUUUUAAUAAACCUUGGUAUGCACUAAUAAGCUUGUUGUUCAUUCUAAUGUGCCCUUGGUGGUGAGCCUUGAGUGUUGAGGCCUAAUUCUUUUAAUUAGUUAUGGUAUGAGAUUUAGUUGAUUGUUAAAAUUUAUUUAUUUUAAAUGAAUACACUUAUUUGAAUCCAGCUUUAUAAAAGGCAGGGACAGAUAUACUUCUUGGCCAGUGUAGGCAAGUGACCACGUGUGACUUUUUGAAAAAUAAUAAUUUUAUAUGGGAUAAUAUAUAUAUAUAUAUAUAUAUAUAUAUAUAUAUAUAUAUAUAUAUUCUAGGCAUACAUAGGAAUUUUGUAUGUGAUUUAAUAAGAUUAAAGAGGAACUCUACAGUGUUGAGUUUUUUUAUAAAAAAAGAAAGAAUGGAAAACUUAAAUUAGGAUGGAAAGAAAAGUAAUAAAAAAUUUAUAAGUAUUGAUCUUUUGUGUAUUUGUGAGUUUAUAAAUGAAAAAAAAACAACUUACCUUUUAAAUAUAGAUUACCACUUUAUCAUUAUAUUAAAUCUUGUAUUUGUUGACAAAGAGUAAUCUAGACUACAAAAGAUUUACUAAACAUAUAUAUAUUUCUCCUUCAAAAACCUGCCCCUUUACUUUUUAAUGGAAAACAUCUAAUGCAAAAAAGUGGCCAAAUUUUUUGUUCACUUUUCUUUUUCGUCUCUUAAAACUCACAAACAAAAGAAACGGACAUAAAACUUAAGUUUUCAUUCAUUUAUUUCCUUUUUCUUUUAUUUUAAAACUUAAAAAUAGUAUGAACAAAAUACAAUUUACAUCAUUUCUAUAAUAUAACCUACAUUACUAAAUUCUUAGUUAAUAUUAAUGUUAUACUCACUUCGUUCCAAAAUUAGGGAUACAUUUUGACUUUUUUAGUCAAUUUGCAAAAUCAUAAAAUUCAGAAUGAAUAUAAAGUUACUGUAGAACCUCUAUAAAUUAAUACUUGAUAAAUUAAUAAUCUCUCUAAAAUAAUAUUUUUUUCCAGUCCCAACUUGGGCUAAUGGGAUAAAUUAAUAAUUUCGAUAAAUAAUAAAAUUAUAAUUUUUAAAAAGACCCUUAUAUAAAUAUAUGGUCCCAUCAAAAUCAUAAAUUAAUAAUUCUUUUAAAUUACAAAUAUAUCUAUGGUAAUCUUGUAAAAUAUGAUUCUAUCCUCGUUUGUUUUGUCUUGAAAUUCAAAUUUAAUUAAAUUUUAUCCUUAAUUUUUCUUAUAUAUACAAAUUAAUUGAACUUAAUGUGAAUGAAAUUUGAAAAGCGGAUACAAUGAACAUUAUUUAAUUAUUAAAAAUAAUUAAUAUCACUUGCAAUGAAUUCUAUUAUUACAUUAAUUUAAUAAGUAUGAUACAUUGCAUCAAAAAAAGUAUGGUAUAAACAUCAAUAAAAUGUAAUAUUUUUAAUGUAAUUAAAUUUAUGUUCACAGAGUAGAAUAACACUCUUUAAAUUAAUAAAUUAUUAAUUUAUCAAUUAAAUAAUAGCUCUCUAAAUUAAUAAAAAAAAAAAAUCAGUCCCAACAGUAUUAAUUUAUAGAGGUUUUGUAUUUAGUUUUAAUACAAAUAAAUAUAACAAUGGUAAACUAACUAUAAAGUACUACUAAUUAUCAUAUUUGUUGUCCCAAAACUUGAACGAAAUUAUAUCAAUUUUGAGUUUUAAGAUUUUGCGUAUUGACUUUAAAAUGUCAAAAUGUAUCUCUAACUAUGUAACAGAGGUAGUAUUUGUGAAUAUAAAAUUAUUUUCAAGAGUUCUCAUUUUAAAAAUGUAUUUCAAACUUUGGAACAAAGGGAUUAUUUUGUAUUUUAAUUUUGUUAUUUCUCUCAAAAAAUUUUAAUUUUACUUUAUAAGUAAAAAUAAUAAUUUAUUAACAUAAUUUACCUACACUGAAGUUAAAUCCUGGAUCCGUCACUGAUAAAAAAGGGGUUAUUGAAGUGGCAAUAAGCAUCAUGAUAAGUGUGCCUUUAGGCCAUGGCUUCAAAUUUUCAUAGAGAUGCUUUGGGACCAAGGGUAGUUGUUGUGGGUGCCUCUGCAAAAUAAAAAUAAAUAAAUAGAGUAAAACAGAAUCUAGCUUUAUAAAUUUUGCAAGGUAAGAGGCCAUGCUUGCACAUUUUUGUAAUUGUUGUUUGAUCCAUAUACCAUAUGGAUUUCAAAGGUUACUACGUCUGGCUUUUCUUGUUACCUGUUGCUCGUGUUACUGGCUAGGAUGGGAAAGGAAAGUAUUACACUUGUCUUGUGUUCAAAGCUAUCUUAAUUUACACCUUAGGUGCAGCUUAUGGGUUUUAUUUCUAGGGAUUUGGAGUAUAGGUAUUCUUUAGUGGUUAGUCCUUGUAAUGAUAUGUUUAGCUGUUAUUUGUAUAAUAAUCUUGGUCAUUGAUUGUAUAUUAUAAAGCUUGUUAUUUUAGUAAUAUCGUCUAGUUAUUCAGUUAUUUCUUUUAAUUAUUUGAGUGCUAUUUUUCAGAAGAUAAUGUUACAAUUUAAUUAAUGAAAUCAAAUGAAUUAUUUGAAGCUGAACUAGUCUGGUAAAAAUCUUUUGUUAUGGAUCUAAAAGUAUGCAUUUUUUUCUGGCUGUCUUGGCUUAUAACUUUUGAUUUCUGAAUCUAUUAUAUUCAGGGUGCAAUAGAACAGCUUUAGGGUAAAAUGUUUUUUGAAAUUCUGCUAUUGUUAAUGGGAGUAAUGCAUUCGUCUUCUGGAAUUUGUAUUGGCUCCACCAUCUGCCUUAGAUUGGUAUUGAAGGACUUGACAAUAUCUUUUCAUUUUUAAUAGUAAAAGUGUUAGUUCCACAAGGUACUCUCUCACGUGAGGUUGAACUCUACUCACCUAUUAAUGUGAGGAGGAGCUUAUGGAACUAUCAUAUUUACUUGUGGAAAUAUCAAUUUCCUAAUUCCCCCCUCCCUAGUUUGUUUCUGCGCUCUAUAAAAUUACUGAAGUGGUAAUGAAUGUUCUUUUUAAGCAGCAAGGUAAGGGUCUCUGUACGAAAGAGACCUAUUUUUAAAUGGUUUGAAGUAUUUGCCAAGAAUUUGAAGUGAAUUGAAUGUCAAUGUUUUCUCUUGUNNNNNNNNN